rnacentral:rRNA from 1 species
ACUUAAAUUGAAGAGUUUGAUCAUGGCUCAGAUUGAACGCUGGCGGCAGGCCUAACACAUGCAAGUCGAACGGUAACAGGAAGCAGCUUGCUGCUUCGCUGACGAGUGGCGGACGGGU